UCGUCCUGUGUAGUCACCGACAGAACAUUAAAUAAAGCAACGUUGAUAUUAAAGCAUUCGGAUUUUGUAAUAUUUUAAUAUAUCAUACAAAUCAGUCUUCAAAAUGAAAUUGUGCCUUAGAAAUGUUAGUAAUGCCACAAAGCCGUUUCUAUUCAAAGAAUUUCGAAGAUACACUUCCAAAUUUGCGGUGAAGGUUGAUGAGACCGUGCAGAAGCAAAUUGAGGUAGAGGGCGGCGUAAGUCCCAGACGACAUCCCGGAAUUAUUAACUUUAACCGGGAGAGUUUGCCCGAGAGAAUACAAAAAACCUUGGAAAGAAUAGUGGGUGAUUACCCUGUAAAGGGACUUCUGAACGACUGUAAAAAAUUAAAUCAGUUUAUUUCCUCACGUCAUCCGCCCGCGGAGGAUUUUGAAAUAAAUACUAAAAUUAAGCAAAUCAGUGAAGAAAUCGACGAAAUGAUGCCGCCAGAAGAACGUGCAAAUCUUGACGAAGAAGGACUGAAAAGGUUUCAAAAGCGUAAAGAACAAUUAAUGAAGAGAAGAAUGAAGGAACGGACAUUUGCUUGGAAACCAAUUCAAUAUGGCUCCUACGAAUCCAUUGUGUACGCAUUGGGAAGAGGGCCUUUAGAAUAUGCGGUUCUUAUGAGGGUGCUUCAUGAAAUAAGAGAAAGAGAUAAGGACUUUAAGCCGCAAAGUUUUCUUGAUUUUGGGUCUGGUAUUGGCACUGGUAUGUGGUCCGUUAGCAGUUUGUGGAAGGACUCAAUAUACGAAUAUUACAACGUUGAUAGUUCUCGCUAUAUGAACGAUCUCUCCGAGUUGAUUUUAAAAGAAGGCAAUGCAAAUCAGCAAAUGACUUUGAGGAACGUGUUCUACCGUCAAUUUCUUCCAGCGCUGGAGACAAAAUAUGACCUGGUACUUUCUUCAUAUUCUUUGUUUGAAUUGUCGAGUGCCCAUAAUCGCCAUGGCGCAAUACUGAAUCUUUGGAAAAAGUGCGAUGGUUACCUUAUUAUAGUUGAGGAAGGUUCUAGACGUGGCUCUGAAUUGGUGAAUGAAGCCAGGGAUCUAAUUUUAUCCCAGGAAGACCACUGUUUGGUGGGACACGUUUUUGCUCCCUGUCCUCAUGAUAGUAUCUGCCCGCGCUUGUCAAAUACUGACGAUAGAACACCAUGCAAUUUCCAAAUAACCUACACGCCAACCAAAUUGGAAUCCAGCAAGCAUAAAGAUUUAACGGCUAGGUUCAGCUAUGUCGUUCUUAAAAAAGGUUUACCAACAGAUUCUACGCGCUUAUGGCCCCGUUUAGUAAGACCCACCUUAGUCAGAUCUAAACAUUCUAUAUGCAGAAUGUGCACAUCCGAAGGAACUUUAACGGAAAUCAUAUUUACACAGUCAAAACAUGGAAGUGAUCGAUAUUUUCCAAACGACUACUACUUCCAUGGCAUACACAUGUCAUUUGUGUGGGACGCGUUUCGUCUUUGAUUAGAAGACUUUUCAACCAUAUUAGAUGUGAUGGCUUCAAGGGCCGUGCGUUGGAGCGCGUACAGGUGUGCCAGAUCAAGCCGAUGGGGCGAUCGCCUGCCUAUCAUUAUUGAAGAUAAAUGUAAUACAAAUCACAAAUAGAUUAAACUGUAAGAGAAAAUAUUAAAUCACCAUAA